ACUCUAAGCUCAAGGGAGUUUCUUGAAGCAAAAAAAAAAACCAUUCAGGAAAUAAUUCUUUGCUGAUAAGGAUGCUCCUUGAACGUUUAUUAAUAAUCUUGUGGAUGCAGCUGACAUGGGUCAGUGGUCAACAGCUGAAUCAGAGUCCUCAUUCAUUGUCUGUCCAGGAAAGAGAGGAUGUCCCCAUGAACUGCACUUCUUCAAGCACAUUUAACACCUUUCUAUGGUACAAGCAGGACCCUGGGGAAGGUCCUGUCCUCUUGAUGGCCUUAUUUAAGCCUGGUGAAUUGACCUCAGAUGGGAGACUGUCUGCUCAGUUUGGUAUAACCAGAAAGGACAGCUUCCUGAAUAUCUCAGCGUCCGUGCCUAGUGAUGUAGGCACCUACUUCUGUGCCGGGCAACACAGUGCUCCCCAAGCACCUGCAGCCUGUACUCAAACUUGCAGCUGGAACUCCAGUCUCUAUGCUGCCUUCAGCUCUUAGUUGUCUGGGCAUGAAAUGUGAUUAUGCAUGCCGCCUUUGCCCCUGUCAUUCCAUCACUACAAACUCUCCUUUAUCCAAGGAUUCGUCCUCCAAAGAUUGUGCUCUUUGCUUGAUAAACUUGCUCCUCUGAAUUCAUUUUUAAUGUAUGUAAUAGAUUUUCUUAGUUAUUUCUGCCAUGAUAUGAGGAGAAUUGAUCAACACACAAUUACAGCAGAAGAUUUUAGUAAGUUUCUCUUUUAAAAUGGAUGAUGUCAAUAAAGUAAAAAUGAGAGUCCAGAAAUAAA